rnacentral:rRNA from 1 species
UACGUAGGGGGCGAGCGUUGUCCGGAAUUAUUGGGCGUAAAGAGCGUGUAGGCGGUUCGGUAAGUCUGCCGUGAAAACCCAGGGCUCAACCCUGGGCGUGCGGUGGAUACUGCCGGGCUAGAGGGUGGUAGAGGCGAGUGGAAUUCCCGGUGUAGCGGUGAAAUGCGCAGAUAUCAGGAGGAACACCGAUUGCGAAGGCGGCUCGCUGGGCCGUUCCUGACGCUGAGACGCGAAAGCGAGGGGAGCGAACAGG